CUAAUGUGGCUCGGCACAGCAUUUGAGUUAAUAUCCAGAGAUAAAGCAGAAUAAGUGUGCGUACAUGUGCGUGUUUCAGACAGGCUCUCUCCAAGGACAGGCUGAUGGAGAUAUGUGAGUGUGUGAGAGACAGACGGAGGAAUCCUAAAGCUGGAGGAAAUCUUAAUCCCAAAAGGCUCCUCCAAGGAUGGGCUGACCGAGACGUGUGGUUGGGAGUACUCACCUGGAUGUUGAGAGGCAGCUGUGGACAGGGAGGCAAGAAGAGAGCAUGUGGGCUGGCAAACCCUUCAGCUCUCUCCCACUCCAGGAGGCACACACACAUACUCCAGUCUGAGCAAAGCAUAAAGAACUCUCAGGAGAGAGAAAUGGAACUCUCAGGAGAGAAAUGAGAACUGAGAAGUCCUGAGUGAAGUCGGAACUGAGAGUCCCAAAAGCAGACUCUGCUGUAGUCGCACUGUGUGGAACUGCUCAGCCCUUGCAGGGUCACCCAGGACCUCAGAGGGACACCACCCAACCUGGAUGCUAGGAAGGGGGCAGCCUUGGGACCAGAUGCUGCUGGAGGCAAACCAGAUGACCCCAUGUAGUUCCCGCCCAGCUCCAGUACCGUGUCUUCUCAUGAUUCCCCAGACCUGAGUCUCCAGGGUGCCAUGCUUGGUUAUCGAUACAAG